CUUGACCAGAGAGGUGUACUGAUGAGGUGGACACACACAUGAACUCACACACGCACACUUUUAUUCAUGGCCACAAAUCAUUUUGAAAUUCACUAUGUAUAGAGGUCUUGUACUUUGACUCCCAUUCCCUGACUGAAUUGUGGAUUUACAAUAGCGAUCAAUUUAACCAAAGCUUCACACAGUUUAAAAUGUGCUUUUUAUUACAAAGAAUACACAGCUAAAUAUACAAAAUGUUUAUAAUAUACAAAAGUUACAAAAUACGGAAUUGUUUUUCAUUUAAAACAAAUUAUUUUAGAGCAUUAUAUAAAAAAAAGUAGUGUGUAGUUCAGUACAAUGCGAGGCGGUGUAAAAAUGAUAGCUACUACAAAAACAGGCAACACACCGGGCAAAAGUUGCUCUUUCCAUUUUUAGAACUCGUCAAUUGGCCAACAAGCAGUUCACUCUCCACAUUGUUCCAAUGCACUGAAAGGUCAUGCUGCUCACAGGGAAGGAAGCUCCUCCCAAAGCGUUUUGUACACUUACUGUCCUUUUAUGAGUCCAUCUUUGAGUUGGGGAGUGUAGCGAAAUACCUUGGGUACUGGUAUCAAUGGUUCACCAUUACAAGUUGUCCUCAAAAUGCUCCUGAAGCCUCUCGCCUCUGUUACUGUAUCGCCUGUGUCUCCUAAACAGAAACCAACAAACUCUAAUAUGGGUAAAUACAACAACACACUGUACAUUUUUUACAUUUUAGUCAUUUAGAAGACACUCUUAUCCAGAGUGACUUACAGGACCAACUAGGGAUAAGUGCUUUGCUCAAGGGCACAUCGGCAUAUUUUGCACCUAGUCGGCUCGGGGAUUCGAACCAGCAACCUGUUGGUUAUGGCCCAACGCUCUUAAUCGCUAGGCUACCUGCCACCCUAUAUUGUACUGACAAUGUCAAGCGUGCAAUGCCUUGAUGUGAUAUUGUAACUUCCCAUUUGGAGGUGCCCAUCUAUUCUCUUUUCCCAUUCUGCAGUCUGUCAGCGACCUCCGUUUCCUUGCUAUGUAUGGCUUUAUCUUACAGUAUGUACCGUAGCUCAAAAUGAAAUGUGUAUCUGUGCCGCGUGACUAGGGUGUCAGUGUGUGUUACCGUACCUCCACAGUAGAAAAGCGAGCGCUGCUCCACAGACCAGCAAGAUGAUGAGAGAGACCACCGCCACCGUGGUCCUCUUGCCCUCUCUCUCACACGGCUCUGACGGACCAGACAGGACAAGGUCACAACAAAACAAUAUGGGGACGUGUUAUGGUGUCCAUAGGACAGCCUCGGAGUCACUUGGACUUGGCUCUCGAAAUAUGGACACUGUUCAUACAGUAUUAACACGAACGCUACAUAGGGCAUACCACUCACACACACACCGAGGCUGUACAUUCAAUGGAUAUGAAUGGUGAGGGCACUAGCUUGGGCAUCGACUGUUUCUGCAUUCAGCAAUGCCUUUGAGGAAAAGUUACCUACCUACCUGUUCUGUCUGUCAAGGAGAUAUGAUAUUUCUUACCCAUGCUUGGCAGUGCUAUUACAUAGAACAUUGGUCACCAACCCUGGUCCUGGAGAACUACAGGGUCUGCAGGGUUUUCUUACAACCUAGCACAACCAUAUCUGAUUCAGCCUUGAGCUACGCUAGCUAGCUAGAGGAACAGUCUGCAUACACUGUAGCUCUGCAUAACCAGGGUGGGUGACCACUGGCAUAGAGACUAACAGACAGAUGGCUGAUUCACAUCAUAGGGCCAACAUGAUUAUUUCUAGCACGGUUCCAUCAAAAACAGUAUGGUGGAUGCGUAACCAGGCCGUGCCAGUGCAGCUUGGCUUGGCUCGGUUUGGUCCUGGAAUGUGAAUCAGGCAUGAGAGACAGAUGGGGUUUGUGUAGAGACUGAGAGACAGAUGGGGUUAGUUAGUGCGUGGGGUUCCAUACCUGCUGUGUAGGUGGCAGAGCUGUGGCCCAGCUUGUUGCUCACCAUGCAGGUGAAGUGACCACAGAUGGGGGCGGAGGAGACGACGAGGGUCUUCCCAUCAGGCGAAACGUGUCCCACAGCAUCGGUUAUGGCUGCCCGCUCGUGGAGCCAGCUGAAUUUAAGGUCUGUCCCCCAGGUCUCCACACAGAACAGGGAGGAGUGGGACACAUUCACUCUCACUGAGGGGUGGUGCACAGCCUCUGAGAGGAAAGACAAGAGACAGCGAAAAGAGAAUGAGACCAGGUGUGAGAAAGGUGAGACUUGGAAGUUGGAACUGAAAAUUGAGGAGGAGAAAGAGAGUGACAGAGGGUGGUUGAGUCGUGAGUUGAGCGUGUUGUCUACUGAGGCUUGGGGGGGGUGACUUGAGAAGUAUGAGGCUGUGAGGAGAAAACAGAUCAGAUACUUAGAAAGAAGACAUUUGACAGAGACAAAUAUAGAGCUUGGAACUAUUGAAGAGGGAUUGUGCGAGACAGUCGUUGGACUGAUAACCUGAAAUAUUACCGACUCAAAGUUGAGUGUUGGACUGCAGUGAAGCAUAUAUUUAUAUUAUAAAGACAAAGAAAGCACUUAGGCAGAACUGACCCAACAGUUCAUCCUCUAUAAGAACAUAACUCCAGAGGACAGGAAGUAAUAUCUAGGAAUGUAUUCCAAACGGCAACAUAAUCAGAAAGUCUGUGUUGUCACAUAACAACACGUCAUUAUAGUGACAUUUUAAGUAAUACGUCAGCAUAGGUGACAUGGAACAACGGUUUAAUGUCACUUUUGAUAUAUUCUACUUAGACCAUGUUGACCGUCGUACCGUACUCCUUGACGGUACACUGUCCAGAGGUCUUGACGCCAGCCUGGUCAGUGACGGUCACGAUGUACACCCCACUGUCUGCCACGCCAAAGCCCUCCAGCUUCAGUAUUGACCCCUGCUCCUCCAAACUCAGACGCCCGUCCAAGCGUUUUUCUUGACCGGGGAACGUAAUCAACGUCACCUUCCCAGGAUUCCCUGGGGUCUUUGCGUUCUCUGGCUCCCGCUCCCAGUUUAUCAUGGAGAUCUUUUCUUUGGGACCGCGGUCGAUCUGGACCUGGAGAACUAGACGUCCGGCUGGGAGAACAUUGACCGGCUGCGGGGUCUGGAAGUGGACCGACACGCACUGGUACCCACAAGACACUGGGGACAGAAACAUGAUCAUGCGUUGUUAUUGUAUUGCCUGUGGUGAUUGGAUAUCAAUACCGUACCAACCUUCGAUGGAGCCUGAUGGAGAGAGAAAUUUGAGGAAGGGCUCAUUGUAAUGGCAGGAGUGGAGCAAAUGGCCAUUUCAAUGAGCCGGUCCUCCGAUUUUAAAAUGACACCAGCCUCCACUGCUAACCACUGAUACGGUUGGUUUCUAUGUUGUUCAUGACUUAGCUCAUGAUUUCUUACAUUUAUAUUUAGUAUGAAGUGAAGAGGACUUUCAUCAGGUAGUCAAACAGUGACUGAGAGCACAUGACAGUUCUGCCUGAUGUGAUGUUUGUCGAGAUUUGUCGUUACAUGACUAACCCUCUGUGGAAUCCUCCAUCUAACACAAAGGGAAGUUUACAUCUCUUACAGGGAAAGACAUUUCCUCAGAAGACGCAGAUUGAAACACACCCUAUUGUCUCAAUCACCUUAGAUGACCAGAGUUGCACACUUCUUGGCUCGGUCUAGACAUAUACAAUGGUACUGUAUUCCUUGGCUUUGAACUCAAACAGUUUUCUUUCAGAAGUGUGACGCAUGCAACUACAACAUAGGUUGAGUGUGCACUGAAGACAGUAUAUCACACACAAACUGAAAAACCGGAAGAAUCCAUUUUCAUGUAAUCUCGACACCCAGAACCAAAUGUUAAGGCUGCCACGUGGGACAACUGAUAAUGUAUCAGUUCAAUACUAAUAUGGUAAAUACAACAUACACAAAUGGCCAAAUAGAGCAGUCAAAUACACGCCGCCUGGUUGCACCAGUACACUUAGAUACAGCCGUGUGACAUUUUUAUGGAUCAUGUUGCACAGAAGCACUUACACAAGAGCAGAGGUAGCAGAGAGAGGCUCCAGGAGAGACAGUGUUGCAGCCUCAUGGCACCUGAGAGAGAGGGAGAGAGAGAAUAACAGACAGACAGAGUCUGAGACUGAGAAAGGGAGCGAGUGAAAGAGAGAGAGGAAUAACAGACUGAGAGGGCAUUUCUCUUGGAUGGUUCCUGUGACCCCUCUGAUAAGAGACAGAUAGAGACCCAGUUUCCAAAGAAGAGGUCAUUGUUUCACUUCCUAAGUCUGACUCCUAAGUCUGACUUAGAAGCUUGCCUUAAGUAACCGGUCUAUAUUUAGGCACAGACAAUGACUUUGCACUGGAUCAAAGUCAGCAGCUGUUUAAAAUUCACUUACCUUCCCAACUGUACAAUGGAUUAUGAGUCAGAGAUUAUGGAAGUGGCAGGAGUGCAUUCAUUCAAAAGGAAGCCCACUUUUUAGGGGUAGGGCACAGCACGCCAGGAAGCUUGGAUGCAGUUUUAUAAUAUAAAAACUAAAAAAUCCUUACGCAAAUAGAACAGAAAAAUGUCAACCAUCAAAAACAACCCAAAGAAAGAGGCUGGAGUGAACUGAAAGUUGCUCUGAUAGAUUGCAGUCUGGUGCAGGACUUUGUACUUGCAGCCCUUCCCUGUGUGAGGU
ensembl:lncRNA